CUAGCUUCCAUAUGGUCGUAAAAAUAGAGUCACGAUCUUUCUCAACGACCAGUUUAUAAUAGUUUAUACCUGUAAACCACAUUUAAAUCAUGUAUUCUCUAUAUAGUCAGUUAUAAUCACUUCGCGUAUUUUCAGUUCUAAAAUGUUGUAUUUCGGCUGUGAGAAAGAUUGUGACUCACGUUUUACGACCGUUACGAGUUAGUUACGACCAUAUGGAAAAUAUUUCAGAAUUCGAACAGCACGUAUGUUAUUAAAUUAACUAGUUUAAUAGAUCAG